CCUACGGGUGGCAGCAGUGGGGAAUAUUGGGCAAUGGGCGCAAGCCUGACCCAGCAACGCCGCGUGAAGGAAGAAGGCUUUCGGGUUGUAAACUUCUUUUCUCAGGGACGAAGAAAGUGACGGUACCUGAGGAAUAAGCCACGGCUAACUACGUGCCAGCAGCCGCGGUAAUACGUAGGUGGCAAGCGUUGUCCGGAUUUACUGGGUGUAAAGGGCGUGCAGCCGGAGAGACAAGUCAGAUGUGAAAUCCACGGGCUCAACCCGUGAACUGCAUUUGAAACUGUUUCCCUUGAGUGUCGGAGAGGUAAUCGGAAUUCCUUGUGUAGCGGUGAAAUGCGUAGAUAUAAGGAAGAACACCAGUGGCGAAGGCAGCCUUCCGGCGCCCUACUGACGCUGAGGCACGAAAGUGCGGGGAUCGAACAGGAUUAGAUACCCUUGUAGUC
rnacentral:rRNA from 1 species